CUUAACACCUAAGGGAUCAUAAAGACACUCUGGAUCACUCUCCAUCUCUGUGUAUGAGCACGGUGCAGCUAGGUUUCAAAGGAGGAAAAGCAAUUGCUUACUACAGCACAGUUUGUAACAGAACAAGUCAUGGGGUGCAGUUUGCUGCUUUUAAAAGUCUCCACCACUGACGUAUAGUUCCAACAGUGCGUACCAUCUACAAGAUAAACUGCAGAAAUUCUCCAAAGCUCAUUUGACCGCACCUUCCAUAUCCACGACUACUGCCAUCGAGAAGGACAAGGGAAGUGUAUGCAUGGAAACGCCACCAUCUGCAAGUUGCCCUCCAAGCCUCUCAAA